AUUUCUGAAAAUAAUAAAAAUAAAAAAACCCAUAAAUCAUCAAAGUUUGUACUAUUUUUAUUUGAAUUAUGAUUUUGAUUCCUUCAAUCAAAAUAUAAAUUCCGGUUUUUAACAUUAAAUUAGAAAAAAAAAGGAGAAAAGAGGAGAGAGAGAGAGAGAGAGAGAGAGAGAGAGAGAGAGGGAGAGAUGGGGAGUUACAGCGUGGAUGAGGCGGUGAUAGCGUACAAGCUGAAGGACGCAUACAAUUGGUGGCGUGACAUUAACGAUUCACCGCUCUGGCAGGAUCGCAUUUUUCACAUUCUGGCCGCUCUUUACGGCAUCGUCGCCGCUGUUGCUGUCGUUCAAUUGAUUCGGAUACAAUUGAGAGUUCCCGAGUAUGGUUGGACCACGCAAAAGGUCUUCCAUUUUCUAAAUUUCCUGGUGAAUGGGGUUCGCGCACUAGUUUUUGUUUUCAGAAGGAAUGUGCAGAACUUACAUCCGGAGAUUGUUCAACAUAUCUUGCUUGACAUGCCAAGUCUAGCUUUCUUCACGACAUAUGCACUCUUGGUUUUGUUUUGGGCUGAGAUCUACUACCAGGCACGUGCUGUAUCAACUGAUGGACUGAGGCCAAGUUUCUUCACGAUUAAUGCGGUGGUUUAUACUAUUCAGAUUGCAAUGUGGCUGGUAUUAUGGUGGAAGUAUAUCCCAGUUUUGGUCAUCCUAUCUAAGAUGUUCUUUGCAGGUGUAUCAUUGUUUGCAGCCCUUGGGUUUUUACUGUAUGGGGGAAGGCUUUUCUUAAUGUUGCAGCGGUUCCCUGUAGAGUCCAAAGGGCGGCGUAAGAAGCUGCAAGAAGUUGGUUAUGUGACCACCAUAUGCUUCUCAUGUUUCCUAGUUCGAUGCAUUAUGAUGUGCUUUAAUGCAUUUGACAAAGCUGCUGACCUUGAUGUUUUGAACCAUCCAGUUUUAAACUUCAUAUAUUACCUGGUAAUUUCCCAUGUCCAACACUAUAUUCUAAGUCUGAGCUGCCAAGCGUUCAUCUAUUUUGCUACCAAAACUAUGAGGAAUUACUGAAAGUUUAAGGAGGAAAUGGUUGCAGUUUUUACCAGGCGCCUUACAGAAUGUGAUCUGUAUUUGUCAUAGAAAAUCAAUGUUGGUGGAGAUAUUACCUUCAUCUUUGGUCCUUUUCAUUUUGAGGAAGUUGCCACCAAAACGAGGUACUACCCAG